UACGUAGGGGGCAAGCGUUGUCCGGAUUUAUUGGGCGUAAAGAGCGUGUAGGCGGUUCGGUAGGUCCGUUGUGAAAACUCGAGGCUCAACCUCGAGACGCCGAUGGAAACCAUCGAACUAGAGUCCGGAAGAGGAGAGUGGAAUUCCUGGUGUAGCGGUGAAAUGCGCAGAUAUCAGGAAGAACACCCGUGGCGAAGGCGGCUCUCUAGUACGGUACUGACGCUGAGACGCGAAAGCGUGGGGAGCGAACAGG
rnacentral:rRNA from 1 species